rnacentral:rRNA from 1 species
GAGGGCCGGGGCUGGACCUCUCGGGGUUACAGCCUUGCUGAAUUAUUCACCCUUGUCUUUUGCGUACUUCUUGUUUCCUUGGUGGGUUCGCCCACCACUAGGACAAACAUAAACCUUUUGUAAUUGCAAUCAGCGUCAGUAACAAAUUAAUAAUUACAACUUUCAACAACGGAUCUCUUGGUUCUGGCAUCGAUGAAGAACGCAGCGAAAUGCGAUAAGUAGUGUGAAUUGCAGAAUUCAGUGAAUCAUCGAAUCUUUGAACGCACAUUGCGCCCUUUGGUAUUCCAAAGGGCAUGCCUGUUCGAGCGUCAUUUGUACCCUCAAGCUUUGCUUGGUGUUGGGCGUCUUGUCUCUAGCUUUGCUGGAGACUCGCCUUAAAGUAAUUGGCAGCCGGCCUACUGGUUUCGGAGCGCAGCACAAGUCGCACUCUCUAUCAGCAAAGGUCUAGCAUCCAUUAAGCCUUUUUUUCAACUUUUGACCUCGGAUCAGGUAGGGAUACCCGCUGAACUUAAGCAUAUCAAUAAGCGGAGA